UAUUUUUAUAGCUAUUCUUUUACUUUUCAAUCAGGGGCAAUUGCUUAUAUACUCUUGAAAAGUUUCCGACUUCUGAUUUACCCUUCUUAGAAGGCUAAUAUUGAAAAUAUUCUUUUUACGUUUCAACUUAUUUCUAAUAUAUCCCUAAAGUUAAAAUCUGUUAAUGAACUCUGUUAUCUCAAUAAAAUUACUAUUUUGCAUUUUCAAAUAUACACUUCUACCAUCACCGACUUUUUUUAUUUANAGUUAAAAUCUGUUAAUGAACUCUGUUAUCUCAAUAAAAUUACUAUUUUGCAUUUUCAAAUAUACACUUCUACCAUCACCGACUUUUUUUAUUUACCCUUAAGUUAGGAGUACAAAAAGUAUUUUGGUUUUUGGCCUUUUUAAAUAUACCCUUCUACCAUCACCAACAUUUCUUAUUUGCCCUUAAGUUAAGGGCAAAAGUGGCAUUUUAAUUUUUUUUUAAACUGUGGUAGAUAUUUAACUCACGUUUAAUUCAAGUUAACUUAACGGGUGGUAACUACAGGGAUAUUUUGGAAUAACAGAGGAACAUAUGAGGAGUAUAUUGGAAAGAAAAAAAAAAUAGGGGUAAAUGAGAUAUUUCCGAAGUUUUAAGGGGUAUAUAAGCAAUUAUCCCUUUCAAU
rnacentral:lncRNA from 1 species